rnacentral:sRNA from 1 species
UCAAAACCGUCCCUGAUCACCUAAAUAUUUUCCCAAGUUCCCUCCCUCCCGCUCCUUCAUUCCCUUUUUUUCUCUUAGCAUCUAAUCUAAUAUUUCUAAAGCCCUAGUUGCACCUUCAUCCCUUUUUCUCUAGCUCUGGAUCUAGUCUAAUUUUUUCGCAAGUCGUAUUCGUUCCUCGCACCACAUCGUCUGUGGGCUUCACUUCACGGGUUUCUCUCCUUUAAAUUCCUAACUAUUUUGCCUUCAUCUCCUUCAAAUCCCUCUUUCAUUCAUCUUCCGAAAAUGCAGAAAACAGUUUGAAAACCUCGCCAGAAUGAAAAAGGGUCACGAAGGAAAGUUCUCUGUUUAUGUGGAUGCAUCCAAGACAAAACCAAUUCAUGGUAUGAAGCAUUUGAAAGGAUGGCUUUUUAUAGAGUGGCUUCGAACUUGGUGAAUUACCUUACAAGCCAAAUAUUUGUUUCUAGUAUUAGAAGAAACGUGAAAGUGAUGGAAUAAGGUAGUUGAUGUGGCUGUCGUAGUCCAUACAAAUUUGAUGUGCAUUAAAAAUGUAGUAUAGUGCUAGGAAGUGACUCUUAGGUUGUCUCUCAAGGAUCAAAUGUGGUUCGAGACUUAGGUCAAACACGUAGUGAGGGGGGUUGAAAGUGUUUUUGUAAGGAAAAUUAAAUUAAAUUAAAAUUAGAAAUUAAAGACAACGUAACAUAAUUAAAAGCGAUGAUAGAAAUCUGCAAAACAUAAAUACCGAAUGGUCUUAUAGUAAACCGAACGGUCUUAACAUUGAGACCAAACGGUCUCUAAAUCAAUGAAAUAGAAAUGAGCAAAACACGAAAGUCGAACGGUAACGUAAGAAAAUGAUGAAGGGGGUCGUUUGGUCUCUGACAGACCGAACGGUAUUACAAUGUAAAAUACAAGCUAAAGGAAACAAACAAGACAAGCUGAACGAUAAUAAAGCAAGACAAUGGAAAUGAAUUGAAAACUAAACAACUGAAUGCAGAAAAAGCCGAACGGUCUCUAACAUUGAAGCAUGUUAGAGACCGAACGAUAUUAAUUUUACACCGAACGGUCUAAAUGAAGAAGCUCAAAACGUUGCAGAAAUGAAGCAGAAAACGCGAUGAACAGUAAAUUAAACUAGUAGAACUGGAAUGAACAUGUAGAGCUAGAACGAAGCAAAACGAACUUCUAAACACAACUAGAAAAUGUAAAUCAAAACAUAAACAGAGGCUGCAAUGAAAAUAAGCUGGGAAACAUAAAUGGGCAAAGUUGAAAAACAUGAAAUGGAAAGCUAAAAUCUGUAAGAAUUAAAAUGCACAAUUGGAAAUAAGCAAUGGAACUAGAUGAAACGAAACAACAUGAAAUGAAAAACGUAAAGUGGAAAUUGCAAUUAAAAACAGAGGAGAUUCAAUACAUGAAGAUAAAAAUGAAAAGAAAGCAAAACCUCCCCAAAGGGGGAGGAGAAAAAAGAUGUUCCCUAGAAAACGUAAGUGGCAACGGGAAGACUUCUAGAGAAUUCUGCUUUUAGGUUUUUUAUAUAACCAAAAGACCAAAAAUGCCCUCCUAAUGGGCUUGUCCUACAAAAUGACCUACAAUUGGGCCCAAAGUCCUAAAGUUUGACCCAAUGACCUUCCAAAACGCUACACUAUUGACGUGCCCAUCCUCUUGAAGUCUCAGAAUGUGCAUCCAACACUGCUGUUUUUCCUCUUGUUACUGCAUUUGAUUGUUCAGUGCUUAAGGCUCAGAUUGCUCGGUCAUUCAGCAAUGCUCUAUAGGCUCGCUCUGUACUAUGCAGUCUUGACAUGACCGUUCGAUCAUCCACUCUCAGACAACAGGUUUUUUUUGUUCGGUUCAUUAGUGUUCGAUCAUUCAGUGGUAUGAAGCAUUUGAAAGGAUGGCCUUUUAUAGAGUGGCUUCGAACUUGGUGAAUUACCUUACAUGCCAAAUAUUUGUUUCUAGUAUUAGAAGAAACGUGAAAGUGAUGGAAUGAAUAAGGUAGUUGAUGUGGCUGUCGCAGUCCAUACAAAUUUGAUGUGCAUUAAAAAUGCAGUAUAGUGCUAGGAAGUGACUCUUAGGUUGUCUCUCAAGGACCAAAUGUGGUUCAAGACUUAGGUCAAACACGUAGUGAGGGGGGGUUGAAAGUGUUUUUGUAAGGAAAAUUAAAUUAAAUUAAAAUUAGAAAUUAAAGACAACCUAACAUAAUUAAAAGCAAUGAUAGAAAUCUGCAAAACAUAAAUAUCGAAUGGUCUUAUAGUAAAUCGAACGGUCUUAACUUUGAGACCGAACGAUCUCUAAAUCAACGAAAUAGAAAUGAACAAAACACGAAAGUCGAACGGUAACGUAAGAAAAUGAUAAAGGGGGUCGUUCAGUCUCUAAUAGACCGAACGAUAUUACAGUGUAAAAGCAUACAAGCUAAAGGAAACAAACAAGACAAGUCGAUCGGUAAUAAAGCAAGACAAUGAAAAUGAAUUGAAAACUAAACAACUGAAUGCAGAAAAAGUCGAACGGUCUCUAACAAUGAAGCAUGUUAGAGACUGAACGAUAUUAAUUUUACACCGAACGGUCUAAAUGAAGAAGCUCAAAACGUUGCAAAAAUGAAGCAGAAAACGCGAUGAACAGUAAAUUAAACUAGUAGAACUGGAAUGAACAUGUAGAGCUAGAACGAAGCAAAACGAACUUCUAAACACAACUAGAAAAUGUAAAUCAAAACAUAAACAGAGGCUGCAAUGAAAAUAAGCUGGGAAACAUAAAUUGGCAAAGUUGAAAAACAUGAAAUGGAAAGCUAAAAUCUGACAGAAUUAAAAUGCACAAUUGGAAAUAAGCAAUGGAACUAGAUGAAACGAAACAACAUGAAAUGAAAAACGUAAAGUGGAAAUUGCAAUUAAAAACAGAGGAGAUUCAAUACAUGAAGAUAAAAAUGAAAAGAAAGCAAAACCUCCCCAAAGGGGGAGGAGAAAAAAGAUGUUCCCUAGAAAACGUAAGUGGCAACGGGAAGACUUCCAGAGAAUUCUGCUUUUAGGUUUUUUAUAUAACCAAAAGACCAAAAAUGCCUUCCUAAUGGGCUUGUCCUACAAAAUGACCUACAAUUGGGCCUAAAGUCCUAAAGUUUGACACAAUGACCUUCCAAAACGCUACACUAUUGACGUGCCCAUCCUCUUGAAGUCUCAGAAUGUGCAUCCAACACUGCUGUUGUUCCUCUAGUUACUGCAUUUGACAUUUGGUGCUUAAGGCUCAGAUCGCUCGGUCAUUCAGCAAUGCUCUACAGGCUCGCUCUGUACUAUGCAGUCUUCACAUGACCGUUCGAUCAUCCACUCUUAGACAACAGGUUUUUUCCGUUCGGUUCAUUAGUGUUCGACCAUUCAGUGUAAGCUUUCACAGACCGUUUGGUAUAUGCGUCCACAGACCGUUCGGUUCUAUGAUGCUCGGCCAUUUUGUUCAACAGUGCUCAACUGGUAGCUGACCGUUCGGUGGAGGCUUCCAACAAGGCUUUCUCAACUCGUUUGGUGCAGACUUUGACAGGUUGUUUAGUCACAUCUUUGACAGACUGUUCGGUCAAGACUGUGGUCAGACCGUUCAGUCAUGCAGACCCUAACCGUUCGAUUCUGGUAGUGUCAGACCGUACAACUCUGUGCAUUACGUUCAAACCUUUUCUCAACUCUUUAAAAGUGAUUGUCCUGCAAUUUAUAAUUGAAAUAAUUAAGUCCAAAUAAUUCAAAUUAAUUAAAAUAAGAAUUAGUCUUGAAAUUAAGUUCAAAUAGUGAAAGUGAAAUAAAAAUGGACAAUUACACACAACACUAAGUAUAUAAUGAAGAAUUAUGACUCAUCAAUAGUCCCCUAUUAUUAUUAUUAUUGUCUGUGCACGGAAGAUUAUAAAGUCCAGCUACAGAGAAACAUAUAUACAUAUAUUUAAGAUAUGGACAUAUUUUUUUGUUAGUUUUUUACAUUGUCAUUCAAACCAGUUCUGUCUGUAAUUUUAUAAGUCAUGAUAACAAGAGCUGAU